CUGCGUUGAGACAAUGACUUAUCAAUGACCCAAGCCCUGCUCAGAUAAUCCCUACCAUUGUGUCGCUGAGUUGUCGUAGAGCUGCAGCAAAUGUACAUUGGAAGCAUUGGAAGUCAUAAUGAGAGCUGAUUGGUGUGGACUAACUGCUCAGGCAGACUGGGAAGGCCAUGCAGAACAUGAACCCUGACUCAGAGGAGACUGAUUUUGAGGACUAUGCAAUGGACCCCCCACAGAUUGUAUGCUUCUGGAUGACUUCAUCACCACCACCACCACUGUUGACUUCACUGCUGACAUUCCCACCCGGGCUGCUCCCUCUACAGUCCAACCUGCUUCCUUCAGUGCCAAGUCCGCUGCCACAAGUAUCUGACCUGCUUCACCCACAGCUCAGUCUGCUGCCAGCCAACUCCACCCAUGCAAAAAACUUGAUUGGUUUGAUAAGUAGCAACUCAUCACUAGUUUCCAUAUAGACUGUGCUGUACUCCAGCCCUUUUGAUCUUCUUUCUAAAAUGUAAGGUCUCUAUUCAAUCAGAUACAGAGUUAACCCGCGGUUGCUCUUGUGUGUCACAAUCCACUCCCUUCCUACCCCGUUAGAAGUUCAAAUCAGUGAUAGAAAGUGUAGGCUAUUUGGAUGGGGGGGAUUUAAAGCCUAUCAGUCGAAUCAAGAGUAGGGUCUAUAGCCUACAAUAGAACAUCACACAGUGUUUGAAUGUGUAACACGGCUGCAGGAACUUCUAACAUGGCUGCAUGGGUUUUGUCGAAUAGAAAGUUUGGUCGUUUUGUGACAUCCAAUGGCAGCGUAGGCGAAUAAGGUAACACAAGGAGCUGCUUGUGGAUUUGACAGCUCGAACACAGUUCCACCUCCGAUACCGCCAAAGCAAUCACUACGUGUGUGUCGACCAACAUUAAUCUGAUUGAAUCGAGCCCUAGAACUUUCAGGUGGAGAUUUUCCUCUGUUUGCAUGGAUGUUGUCAUAUGUUUGGAUUCUGCUGUGUUAUUCACUCAGAAUCAGUCAGUUGCCAUACCCACUCAUUAGCUUGUGUGUGUAACGUUUUACAUUUGUCAUUAAUAAACAUGUGUCUAUAUUUCGA